AAGUCGUAACAAGGUAUCCGUAGGUGAACCUGCGGAUGGAUCAUUAGUGAAUUGAAGGCGAGCGCGUUAGCGCGAGUCUUUCAACCCACCCUUGUGCAACGUAACGUACUCUGGGGACUUCUCAGGAGGUUCCCGAGGGGUCUAGGGCGACCUUUAAAAGUCGCCUGAAGCCCAACCAACAAACACUUUGAACCAAAGACUGAAUUCGAAAGAAAUUUCUAAUGUGAAACAACUUUUGACAACGGAUCUCUUGGCUCUC
rnacentral:misc_RNA from 1 species